rnacentral:rRNA from 1 species
CACGUAGGCGGAUAUUUAAGUCAGGGGUGAAAUCCCAGAGCUCAACUCUGGAACUGCCUUUGAUACUGGGUAUCUUGAGUAUGGAAGAGGUAAGUGGAAUUCCGAGUGUAGAGGUGAAAUUCGUAGAUAUUCGGAGGAACACCAGUGGCGAAGGCGGCUUACUGGUCCAUUACUGACGCUGAGGUGCGAAAGCGUGGGUAGCAAACA